UCUCUUCACAAGCUUCACAAGUGGGUGUUAGGUUUGCUUUUGGUUCCUCUUAUGCACAUAAGGUGUUUGAUGAAAUGCCCCAAGAGCAUGAAACAAACAUGAUAUGAAGUGUUGGAGCCACACUUGAGCUUUCUCAUUUAUUUUUUCCUCCUCGAUCGCGAUGAAUCGACAAUGGAUGUACGGUAACCGACUCUCCGGCGAGUUCAGUGCGGGUUUGAAAGAUUUCCUCGUAGUGGCUAAUGCGAACAAGCAGGAGGGUUUUGUUAUCUGUCCAUGUGUUAAAUGUAAGAAUCAGAAGGGUUACUCUUCCUCAA